rnacentral:lncRNA from 1 species
AAGGGUUGAGCAAACGCUAACUUAGCCAAUCAAGGUUUGCUAGGAUAUGGAGGGGUAAGAGGCUUUUCAUGGCAUUUUGGGAGGCUUGAUAUUCAGGUGGUAGGCAGCGAUAAUUAAUGAUAGAAACGCGAUAGCUAAGCAUAACAAAAUUAGAAACCAUAUCAAGAUCAACGAUCAUCUUGCCUCGCACUUCUUCUCAC